GAGACGCCUGGGGUCCCAAGGGAAGCUGAACGCCCGGUGGGCUCCCGGGAUGGUUCUUCCGGUUCUUUGUGCCGCCUUCACCCAGUGAAGGAGCCUGUAUCCACCCUGCCCAGUCGCUGUUGGGCUGCUGCGGAGCUUCCGCUGCCAUCUUCGGAUCCUGUGUUCCGCCCGGGGCUCCACCAGGGCAGGGAUGGUGGUGAGGGUCGCUCGUGGGUCCCCUGGCAGGGAGCAGGGUCUGGCACUCACAAGGGCGCACGACUAGGACUUGUCGAAUGAAUCCCUUGUCGCCUUUAGCUUUUAGUCCUUUGAAGAGAGCAGAAUGGGGAAAUGGAGAGAGAACCUGAAAGAGCCCCAAACUCGAGGACCUAUUGCUCCCCAAGAAUAACAUCUUCCAGAACUAGACAGAAAACUAGGCGUCUGGGAACCCUGAAAUCCUUGGAGGAGUAGAUCAUCAUGACCCUCUGUGUUCCUUUUGGCAAAUGACUUGCUUCCAUUGUUUGUUUGUUCAAUUGUCUGUUUGUUAAAUAAAUAAAACCCUUUUUAUGUAUCUUUAA
rnacentral:lncRNA from 1 species